UAUGAAGGUCAGGCUGAAGACCUUACCCGAUUAGCUGAGAGGUGGUGCAUGGCCGUCAUCAGUUCGUACUGUGAAGCAUCCUGUUAAGUCAGGCAACGAGCGAGACCCACGUCCACAGUUGCCAGCAUACCCUCCGGGGUGAUGGUACACUGUGGAGACCGCCGCUGCUAAAGCGGAGGAAGGAGUGGGCAACGGUAGGUCAGUAUGCCCCGAAUCUCCCGGGCUACACGCGGGCUACAAUGGUUGGUACAAUGGGCAUCUACCCCGAAAGGGGAAGGAAAUCUCUUAAAGCCAAUCGUAGUUCGGAUUGAGGGCUGCAACUCGCCCUCAUGAAGCUGGAAUCCGUAGUAAUCGCGUUUCAACAGAACGCGGUGAAUACGUCCCUGCUCCUU
rnacentral:rRNA from 1 species